rnacentral:rRNA from 1 species
UACGAAGGGGGCUAGCGUUGUUCGGAUUUACUGGGCGUAAAGGGCGCGUAGGCGGCACUGUUAGUCAGGCGUGAAAGUCCUGGGCUCAACCUGGGAACUGCGCUUGAUACGGCAGAGCUAGAGGAUGGAAGAGGCUCGCGGAAUUCCCAGUGUAGAGGUGAAAUUCGUAGAUAUUGGGAAGAACGACCGGUGGCGAAGGCGGCGAGCUGGUCCAUUACUGACGCUGAGACGCGAAAGCGUGGGGAGCAAACAGG